CCUCCUAUGAUGAUCAAAAUAGUUUGACUUUCGUUCUUCUGAAGUUUUCUGAAUGAAGCCAAUCUUUUUCCUGAGGAGG